CUAAUGAAGUUUAACUGAAGGUGAGGAUGCCGCCCUUUCCCUGAUACUGGUAGACAAUGGUGUUCUCCUGGAAAUACUGUGAUUUUUCACAGCGGAGUAGAACAUAAGCAUUGCUUCUGCCAGUCAUCAUAGAAGUGGACUAAGUCCUUUUGGGUUGUAUAUUGCCUAGAAGGAUGUCUAAGGAAAGGUUAUAUUUAAUGGUAAGUAAGAACGAGAGAGUGAGUGAAUGAGCAAGAGAGAGUGAGUGAAUGAGCAAGAGAGAGUGAGUGAAUGAGCUGGAGAGAGUGAUUGAAUGAGCUGGAGAGAGUGAGAUGAAUGACUUGGAGAGAGUAAAUGAAUGAGCUGGAGAGAGUGAGUGAAAGAGGUAGAGAUGGAGAGAGUGAGUUAAUAAGAGUGAGUGAAUGAGCUGGAGUGAGUGAGCUGGAGAGAGAGAGAGUGAAUGAGAUUGAGACAGUGAUUGAGUGAGUGAAUGACAUUGAGAGAGAGAGUGAAUGAGGUUGAGAUUGAGAGAGUGAGUGAGUGAAUGAGAUUGAGAGAGAGAGUGAAUGAGAUUGAGAUUGAGAGAGUGAGUGAAUGAGAUUGAGAGAGAGAGUGAGAUUGAGAGAGUGAGUGAAUGAGAUUGAGAGAGUGAGUGAAUGAGAUUGAGAGAGCGAGUGAAUGAGAUUGAGAGAGUGAGUGAAUG
rnacentral:lncRNA from 1 species